rnacentral:rRNA from 1 species
CCUACGGGUGGCAGCAGUGGGGAAUAUUGGGCAAUGGAGGAAACUCUGACCCAGCAACGCCGCGUGAAUGAUGAAGGUCUUCGGAUUGUAAAGUUCUUUUCUACGGGAAGAAGAACGUGACGGUACCUUAGGAAUAAGCCUCGGCUCACUACGUGCCAGCAGCCGGGGUAAUACGUCGGAGGCGAGCGUUAUCCGGAAUGACUGGGCGUAAAGGGUGCGUAGGUGGUUAGGCAAGUUAGUAGCGUAAAGCCAAGGCUCAACCUUCGCUCUACCGAUAAAACUGUUGGACUUGAGUGCAGGAGGGGCAACCGGAAUGCCUGGUGUAGCGGUGGAAUGCGUAGAUAGUAGGAGGAACACCAGUGGCGAAGGCGGGUUGCCAGACUGUAACUGACGCUGAGGCACGAAAGCGUGGGGAGCGAACAGGAUUAGAUACCCGUGUAGUC